rnacentral:snRNA from 1 species
CAACCAAGCGCGGGUAAA